rnacentral:rRNA from 1 species
UACGGGGGGGGCAAGCGUUGUUCGGAAUUACUGGGCGUAAAGGGCUCGUAGGCGGCCAACUAAGUCAGACGUGAAAUCCCUCGGCUUAACCGGGGAACUGCGUCUGAGACUGGAUGGCUUGAGUGCAGGAGAGGAACGCGGAAUUCCUGGUGUAGCGGUGAAAUGCGCAGAUAUCAGGAGGAACACCGGUGGCGAAGGCGGAUCUCUGGGCCUGUUCUGACGCUGAGGCGCGAAAGCUAGGGGAGCGAACAGG